UUGGUUUUGUUUUAAAUCAUUGGCCUAAAACGAGUCUUAAAAUCCAGUCUUUUUCUAAAGAGAAACGAGAGGACACAGGCCCGCGUUGCGCUGAGGGUCCCGGCAAUGACUCCGGUGGGGUGCCUGCCCGCUUCCCGCAGAGAAGCCCUCGGGCAGGCGCCGGCAGCAUCCUCUCCCCUGCGUCUCGAGGGCCGCCCUUGAGGAGUUUCAUGCCCAGGGUCGCGGAACCAGUGGCUCCCCAGGCUGUCACCCGGGGUGAGCGCCUGCACCACUCUGCGGCCUUGUUGAUUUUGUCCUAAAAGCCUGAGCGAAAUGGAAAUAUGGGGGGCAGGGGUCUGCUGUUGGCUUGUGAAUGCUCGCCUUUGUCCCUCAGGCGGUCGGCCACCAGCCUGGCAUUCUGUCCCUGCACUGGUCACUCUCAUUUGGCAGGCGGGGCCGCAGACUACAUAGAGGAAGUGUGCCGCGAGUGGGGUUAGGUGCCAGCACGAGGCCUUACAAGGUUCCCGGAUAGCCCUGGCGCACGCCUUGGCCAUCAUAGAGGAGGGAGGGGGACCUGACAGGGCGCGGACGUGCCGGCCCGAGGGUGGAGGCGGGGGUCCCCCAUCCCAGCUGUUCUCCUGGCCCUGCAGCACCCGGGACCCGAAAUAGCAAGUUCACCCUGGGUCACACUUGCGAGAACCAACCCGCACCCCACCCCAGAAAGGGCUCAGUCCGCACCUUUCGAGAACUGCUCGCGGGCCCAGGGAGUCGGCCUAGCGGUCACAUUUCAACCUGGAGCAGCUUCGGAGGAGUUGAGUCUGGGGAGCAGGGGAGAGCGACCUGAUUGGAAGGAGGGUGCCGAAGAGCCCUGGACAGCGGGAGUGCCCGACCCUGCCCAAGAAGGGGCCUGCCCGCGGCCGCGAGGGCUCCGGGCCACCAGCCUCAGCUGCCACCCAGUGCCUGGCCAAGACGCAGGGCCCGGCCUCCGAGGGCCGCGGGCACCGGGGACCUGCGUAGGCCUCUCCGCUGCGCUCCUCUGCGGGGCGCCCUCUCCCUGGCGCGCCUCUGAACCUGGCAUCGAAGCCGCCCGAUAGAUACUUCGAACAAUCCGGGAGAGAAAGAAAAAGAACUCAGUUUGCCCGCGUAAACGCUGCUAGUAACUCUCAGAAGUUUCCUGGUUUCUCGUAAAGGUGGCCGGGGCCGUUUACAGUAAGAACGGAAUAAUGUUUGCGACUGUACGACAUAAUUAUCUCCAGACUUGCCUCUACCCCGCCCCCAGCUAGGGUUUUCACCAGCGAAAGCGGCUAAUGCAUUUGCACACAUUAAACAUCUUGAACGCAUAAUUACAGGCUGCAGACAGGCUGGACAAUAAAAUAUCUCGGCUCGAUAUUUUUGGAAGCCUUUUGUGAUGGUGCCUGGAAUAAAUAACAACCGCUUUCUAUGUCCUCAGCCAUCUAACUGCAGCCACCGUUAUUUCAGAACACCCCCACCCCACCUCGGAGGGGCAGAAGUGGGGGACUUCAGCGGAAGGGUGCGGUCGCCUGAAGAGGUCUCCUGAGCCUCGGGUGCGUGUGGGCUUGGAGGACUGGAAUAAGAAGAAAAUAUGUUCCAAGCCCUGAGGGCCCUCUUCCUCAUUAGAGGCACACAAGUGGGGCCCUCUAGGCCCCACACCCUCUGGGCGCGUGCCCUCCCUGACUCCCUACGCCAAGACUAAAAAAUUUGAAGACUCAGACCACAUGUUCCUACCUCACAAUCUCUCUAAAAAGAGCCUCUCUAUACUGAACCGGCUCCUGUCACCUGAGAAAUCUGCUGGAAAAGAAAGCUGGAUAUUGAAGCAGCAAGACCCAGAGGAAGAAGCUGCUGUCCUCUUUGGAGCUCGAUGGGGUGGCCCUGGGCCUGGCCCCCACCCAGGCCUGACAGAGGCAGGAGGGUAUGGCGGGGGCCUAGGGCUUUGCCCCAGACCUUGGACCCCGCAGCGUCUGCCAGGAGACGUCGGAGGAAACGCUUUUACCACCUGGGCGACCUUGACUGCAGCCGAUUAAAGUUUAAUCCGAGGUGUGUGCUCAGACUUGCCAUGUUAUUUAAACACAUCAAAGGUCAUAAAAAGAUUCCAAUGGCGUGAGCCGCUCCGACGCGGGCCCGCAGGGAGCCAGCAUUUGAUUCUGGUGGAUUUCCAGAGCCAGGAUUUAGAGCGCAGGGCGGGAAGGGGAGUAUAGGAAAAAAAGGGAAAAGCCAGCUUUCACAGAGGAAUGCUAGACUUCAAAAAGCGGCAGGGGAAACCGAGUCUCGGCCCGAGGAGCAGAGACAGCGCCCUUGAGUUCCGAUUAACUGGGAAGACAUCUAGUGGGAAGAGGUCGCAACUGCAGCGGUGUCCUGCGAGCAUCCUCCGCCGCCG
rnacentral:lncRNA from 1 species